GGUAGCCCGUUUUCCACCUCCUUUCUAUAUAAUGCAUCACAGAGAGUAGAGAAAUAGGUUUUGAGAACUGUAUUCCUAGGAAAGCUGAUUGGACAACAACAACAACAACAACAAAAACAAUGAAAGGAAAUAAAAUCACAGGAAUAUGGCCAAAGCUCCGUCAACCACAUCAAAAGAUGAAAUGUUCUAAGGAUGGCAGACCAAAGAGUUCAAAGGAGUCAGGAUCACCUAACACUGUGAAACCAGCAUCUGAGCUCUAAAUCAUCUGUCUGGAUUCCUCCCAGGGAAGAAACCAGUAAACUUAUUUUGCUUAA